AUCCUUUGCCAAGUCUCUAAGUU
rnacentral:siRNA from 1 species